rnacentral:rRNA from 1 species
AUUGAACGCUGGCGGCAGGCCUAACACAUGCAAGUCGAACGGUAACAGGAAACAGCUUGCUGUUUCGCUGACGAGUGGCGGACGGGUGAGUAAUGUCUGGGAAACUGCCUGAUGGAGGGGGAUAACUACUGGAAACGGUAGCUAAUACCGCAUAACGUCGCAAGACCAAAGAGGGGGACCUUCGGGCCUCUUGCCAUCGGAUGUGCCCAGAUGGGAUUAGCUAGUAGGUGGGGCAAAGGCUCACCUAGGCGACGAUCCCUAGCUGGUCUGAGAGGAUGACCAGCCACACUGGAACUGAGACACGGUCCAGACUCCUACGGGAGGCAGCAGUGGGGAAUAUUGCACAAUGGGCGCAAGCCUGAUGCAGCCAUGCCGCGUGUAUGAAGAAGGCCUUCGGGUUGUAAAGUACUUUCAGCGGGGAGGAAGGGAGUAAAGUUAAUACCUUUGCUCAUUGACGUUACCCGCAGAAGAAGCACCGGCUAACUCCGUG